GUCCAGCCUUCGCAGUGGAGGUGCUGGAGGGCUGAGGACAGCGGCCCCCCUCCCUGCAGCAUGGGCAGGAUGGCGGCCGAGUCCUGGGCUGCCCCAGAGGCUCAGGAAGCUGCAGGGGACUUUGUAAAGUGCUGUUGGAUUGCCUUCUUGUGCUCUCGUAAUAUAUCUGGACAUGCAAUAUUUAGUAUGCGUUUGUGGAGCAAACUGAAGGGUCCUGUGUGUCGUUGUCCCCAGGCCGGUUUGAGUGAGCGGCUUUCUGGCAAGCUGCUAUUUGUUCUUCCGGCCAGCAGUUUCGGACGCAGCGAGGGCACAGAGCUCACAGGCCACGGGUCACCUCUCUGCCCUGACCACAGGAAAUGCGCUUGGUGCAAAUUCCUUUCUCAGCUCAGCGCUCUCUGGUGCCGCGGGGCUGGGUUCAGGACACAAGGCAGAUCUAAAGGGACUUGCUGAAGACCAGGGAAUAAGGACUAGAAGAGGCGAGCCGGGAGCACGCUGCAGCCGGCUGCGUGGAGUGAGGACUCCUCCGCAUGAUGGAUGAAUGCCUAGAGUUUCCACCCCUGGCUUCCGUGCCUGCCAGGUGACCUUUACUCGGAGGACUCACUGAGAAAACGGUGCUGUGGGCUCUGUGGCAGCUCAGGGGGCCCAGAGCGCUGGCUGAGGAGAGGCCUCACCCUGCUCCAGCUCGCUUUCCACUCAGCCUGGUGAAAACUCAUUUCUUCCAGGAAGCCCCUGACAUCGGUCUCCACCAUUGCACCUGGGACGUGGUCCACGAAGCACUUAAUUGGGGCUGCAGACGAUCAAGGUGAUUGCUCACACUGACUGCGCUGCCUCUCAGCCCCUUAUGCUUUGGUCCCACAGGGGGACUGCAAACACCUCAGGACUGGCUUGUGAUGCAGUGCAAGAACCCUGGACCGGGACUCCGGAGAGAACUGAUUCCAGCCCUUAAAGAUCUCAGGCCUCGCUCUGAGUCUCUGUGUUUUAAUCUGCUGAAGGGGAGCAUAGUAGCUUCCAGAUAGGCCAUGCGAUUGUAUAGGAGAUAAUAAGAGGAAAGACCAGGCCUGCGUUAUUCCUUUCCAUCUAUCUAUGUCUGCCCCACAUUGGAAUAUAUAUAUGUUCACUGAAAAACAUAUGUGACUGUUCCUAGCAGCAUUAUUCAUAAGAGCUGGAAAGUAGCAGUGGCCCAGAUGUCCAUCCACUGAAGAAUGGAUAAACAAAAUGUGGUAUGUCUAUAGGGUGGAAUAUUAUUCAGCCAUUAAAAGGAAUAAAAGCUGGGCAUGGUGGCGAAUGCCUGUAAUCUUAGCACUCAGGAGGCUGAGGCAGAAGGAUCAUUGCGAGUUCAAGACCAGCCUGAGCUAUAAAGUGAGCUCAAGGCCAGCCUGAACUGCAGAGUGAGGCCAUGUCUCAAAACGAGAAAAAAACAAAGGAAUGAAAUACUGAUGUGCGUUGUUAUGGUUUGUGUUUAGGUGUCGCUCCCAAAGUCUCAUGUGAUCAUAGGUGGAGCUUUUUCAGAGGUGGUUGGACCUAAAGUGUGUGACUGAUUAAUGGUGUAACACUAGGAUUAAAGGUGCUAGGAUUAAGGGUAGGUGAUUACUAAAGCAGUCCACUGAUUGGUUUGGCACCGCCCUAAUCCCGGUAGACUUGAUACAAUGUAACAGACAGAAAGGGGCUUAUCUUGCCCCUUGUUGCUACCUUCUGCCUGCUAUGAACUGUUUCUCCUCUUCAAAGCCACCCUUGGAGCCAGCCAAUUAUGGACUGAAACCUGUACAAAUGGUGAGCUAAAUAAACCUUUCUUCCCUUAACUUGUGGGUGUUGGUAUUUUGUCUCAGCAAUGAGCAGAGUAACUAGGACAUGCUAAACUCUCAUGAAGCUUGAGAACAUUAUGCUGGCUGGAGGGAGCAGCCACAAAGGACCGUAUAAUGAACGAUUCCACUGGUACAGAGCGUCCUGCACAGGCAGAUCCUUGGAGACAGAUAGCGGAUUGGUGGUUGCCUGCACUUGGGUGUCUGCUGCUGGGUGGAAGGUUUUUUGGGUAGGGAGGUGAUAAAAAUGUUCUAAAAUGAAAUUAUGGUGAAGGUUGCACUAUUCUUUAAAUAUAGUAUUCAG
rnacentral:lncRNA from 1 species